CAAAUUAAAGCUUUUAUUGAAGCAUUUUAGUUACAUUAAAAAGAAUAUUAUUAUAGUAUAGUUUGA
rnacentral:tRNA from 1 species